rnacentral:tRNA from 4 species
GCCUCCUUAGCUUAGUGGUAAAGCAGCGGUUUUGUAAACCGUCGAUCGCAGUUCGAUUCUGCGAGGAGGCUCAA